rfam:Triticum aestivum genome assembly, contig: Triticum_aestivum_CS42_TGACv1_scaffold_093376_2AL
CUACGGACUUGAUUGUAUUGAGCCUUGGUAUGGGAACCUGCUAAGUGGUAACUUCCAACUUCAGAGAAACCCUGCAAUUAAAAAAGGGCAAUCCUGAGCCAAAUCCAUGUUUUGAGAAAACAAGGGGUUCUCGAACUAGAAUACAAAGGAAAAGGAUAGGUGCAGAGACUCAAUGGAAGCUGUUCUAACGAAUCGAGUUAAUUACGUUGUGUUGUUAGUGGAAUUCCUUCUAGUUCUAAAUUAGAGAAAGAGGG